rnacentral:misc_RNA from 1 species
GAUGAAGAACGUAGCGAAAUGCGAUAAGUAAUGUGAAUUGCAGAAUUCAGUGAAUCAUCGAAUCUUUGAACGCACAUUGCGCCCGCCAGCACUCUGGCGGGCAUGCCUGUCCGAGCGUCAUUUCAACCCUCGCGCCGUCCCUCCAGGGGGCUCGGCGCGGUGUUGGGGGACACGGCCCCGGCCGCCCCCGAAAUGCAGUGGCGACCCCACCGCGGCCCCUCCAGCGCAGUAAGCACGCUCGCUACGGGAGGCCCGGUGGACGCGUCCGCCGUAAAACGCCCAACUCUUCAGAAGUUGACCUCGGAUCAGGUAGGGAUACCCGCUGAACUUAAGCAUAUCAAUAAGCGGAGGA